AAAUAAAAAAAGAAUUCAAUAUGAACUUGCAGAAGAAGCUGAUUUGUGAUAGAGAAAUUUGUAUAGGCUAUUAAACUUAAAAUUAACGGAAAAGUAUAUAAAUUAGUGACACAUUAUUACAAUUCAUGAUAGAACUCAUAAGUGACAUUAGUCUAUCUUUUUUUCAAGUGACACAUUAUCACAAUUCUUGAUGGAACUCAUAAAUGAAAACAAAAUAUAGAAAAAGUGAAAUGAAAAUAAUAUUUAUUAAGAAAGAAUUGUUAUGUCUAGUAGUACCUUAAGGCU
rnacentral:lncRNA from 1 species